GUGCUCACUUCAGCAGCACAUAUACUAAAACUGGAAUGACACAGAGAAGAUUAGCAUGGCCCCUGCACAAGGAUGACAUACAAAUUUGUGAAGCAUUCCAUAGUUUU
rnacentral:snRNA from 1 species